UCCCUGGUGGUCUAGUGACUAGGAUUCAGCACUUUCACUACUGCAGCCUGGGUUUGAUUCCCAGUAAGGGAA
rfam:Ovis aries breed Texel chromosome 1, whole genome shotgun sequence.